CCUCCAGUUUCUCCACCUUCGACCAGCGGAGGCGAGUCGUCGCGCUCCUCUCCGCUGUCCUCUUCUUCUCUUUCCUCUUCCUUCUUUUUUUUCCUCCGCUUCUUCCUCCGGUCCCGCACGAUCAAACAACCACCAUCGCCACCAACAACACACUUAGUCCCGCCGCAGUGCUACGAGCGGAGGUGUCGUCACGCGCGUCGACUAAUUUUCGGACGAACUUUCCGGUUCGGUGUCUUGUAUUGGACUGUGCAGAAGUGGCACCUUCCAGUUUCUGAACUUACAUCUUGUCAGAUAUCGAUGACUCACUAUGUUUGCAGAUCAAAUAUUCGAGAAGAAAUACUCGAAAAGAAAAGGAUCGAUGCUCCGAUAAUAUCGACGAAUUCCUGUGCGUAUAUGCAUCGCAUCCGUGUAUCGCGUUACGCAUCGGAUCAAAAUAUCAAAGCGGAUUAUCCAGAUGAAAGCAGCAAGGAUAAUCAUCACGUUAUCACCCUGGAACGGUAUAUCAUAGAGAUAGAAAAAUGCGAAACGCAGGAAGCAACAAGACGGACCAUCAACAAUAUAUCCGAGAAAACGGUAAUUGCAAAACAGCUGAUUUUACUUAAAGUUUGAUAGCUUUACGUUUGACAUAUAUUGAUAAUUGAUGAUUAUAUCCACUCUUAGAAAAGAUUUAUUAAAUUGAUACUCGCACAUAUUGUUGCCUCCUUUCUAUAAUGUUGAUUGAUUAUCUCGAUAUUGCGCUAUGCAUUACUUCAUAUCAAUAAAAGUCUAUCAUAGCUGAGUCGCAUAUUUGACAGUUCAAAUAUUAAGUA